UACGUAGGGUGCAAGCGUUAAUCGGAAUUACUGGGCGUAAAGCGUGCGCAGGCGGUUGUGCAAGACAGAUGUGAAAUCCCCGGGCUUAACCUGGGAAUGGCAUUUGGGACUGCAAGGCUGGAGUUUGGCAGAGGAGACUGGAAUUCCCGGUGUAGCAGUGAAAUGCGUAGAUAUCGGGAGGAAUACCGAUGGCGAAGGCAGGUCUCUGGGCUAUAACUGACGCUCAUGCACGAAAGCGUGGGGAGCAGACAGG
rnacentral:rRNA from 1 species